rnacentral:tmRNA from 1 species
GGGGCUGAUUCUGGAUUCGACGGGAUUUGCGAAACCCAAGGUGCAUGCCGAGGGGCGGUUGGCCUCGUAAAAAGCCGCAAAAAAUAGUCGCAAACGACGAAAACUACGCUUUAGCAGCUUAAUAACCUGCUUAGAGCCCUCUCUCCCUAGCCUCCGCUCUUAGGACGGGGAUCAAGAGAGGUCAAACCCAAAAGAGAUCGCGUGGAAGCCCUGCCUGGGGUUGAAGCGUUAAAACUUAAUCAGGCUAGUUUGCUAGUGGCGUGUCCGUCCGCAGCUGGCAAGCGAAUGUAAAGACUGACUAAGCAUGUAGUACCGAGGAUGUAGGAAUUUCGGACGCGGGUUCAACUCCCGCCAGCUCCACCA